rnacentral:rRNA from 1 species
UACAGAGGUCCCAAGCGUUGUUCGGAUUCACUGGGCGUAAAGCGUGCGCAGGCGGCUUCUCAAGUCAGGGGUGAAAGCCCAGAGCUCAACUCUGGAAUUGCCUUUGAGACUGAGUGGCUUGAGUACGAGAGAGGUGAGUGGAAUUCCCAGUGUAGAGGUGAAAUUCGUAGAUAUUGGGAAGAACACCGGUGGCGAAGGCGGCUCACUGGCUCGUAACUGACGCUCAUGCACGACAGCGUGGGGAUCAAACAGG